rnacentral:rRNA from 1 species
AUUGAACGCUGGCGGCAGGCCUAACACAUGCAAGUCGAGCGGCAGCGGGUCCUUCGGGAUGCCGGCGAGCGGCGGACGGGUGAGUAAUGCCUAGGAAUCUGCCUGGUAGUGGGGGAUAACGUUCGGAAACGGACGCUAAUACCGCAUACGUCCUACGGGAGAAAGUGGGGGAUCUUCGGACCUCACGCUAUCAGAUGAGCCUAGGUCGGAUUAGCUAGUUGGUGGGGUAAAGGCUCACCAAGGCGACGAUCCGUAACUGGUCUGAGAGGAUGAUCAGUCACACUGGAACUGAGACACGGUCCAGACUCCUACGGGAGGCAGCAGUGGGGAAUAUUGGACAAUGGGCGAAAGCCUGAUCCAGCCAUGCCGCGUGUGUGAAGAAGGUCUUCGGAUUGUAAAGCACUUUAAGUUGGGAGGAAGGGCAGUAAGUUAAUACCUUGCUGUUUUGACGUUACCAACAGAAUAAGCACCGGCUAACUUCGUGCCAGCCGCCGCCGUAAUAC